AACCCAAGGAAAAGAGUCCUCUCAGCAAAACAAAGUUUGCCUGCUUCCUUGUGUGUGGCCUGCUUAUUUUAUUUUUGGGGGAGCUUUACUUUAGAAGUGCUGAGCCGCCCGAGGGCCCUUUUUCUCCAUUUGCGUUUUGUGUGUCUUCUGAAAAUUGUAUCCUAGCUAAAGCUACUCUUUCUCCCUUGGUGGCUUUUGAACUCACGUGGUGAACUGUGACCCCGAAAGAGCAACAGAAAUACCCUCAGGAAUGCUGCUCUUGUCAUCAAAACUCUACUGUUUGGGUAGCAGUAACCGGCUGAGGAUGAGCGGCAUCAAUUAUCUAUUACAACUCCAAGCUGUCAAUCAAAACCCAUGUUAUUUCCUAGGCCCCAGGCAACCAAAGGCAUCAAACUAACAAGAACUCGGAGGAGCAGAUAAACAUGAAGGUUGAGCUACAAAGUUCCCGGGAACGCAUGAGACAAUGGGAGUCCUCAGUGCCCCCAGCUCACUCUGGCUCAUACCAGACGCAGGUGGGAACAGAGAGGUGGUGGUGGAGGAAGAACGGGGCCCCCAAAUUCCCAGAUGGGGGCUGACAUAAACUCCCAAGAGAACACAGACACGGACUCUGCUGCAGGGAGUAAAGAAAGCCUCAUCAAAAUCAACUUGGAGGGCCUGGCCAAUUUUUCCGGACACUUGCUCCCUGGACAAAAGCUGCGAGAAAACUCGGAGUGAUGUCUGCUCAUGAGAACAUAAUGGCAAAGUCAGAAAAAAACAGAGGAGUGGAUCAGAAUCAAUCACUUUUUAAGUGAGCAGAGUCAGGGACCAGGAAGUACAAAAUUCCCAAUACCUGUUUUGUAGCAGCAUGGGAAACAAGCUCAUUUUAACCUGUCACUGUACAUCAAUCACUCUUCAAGCUCAAUGGAGGCAGGAAUUCUCCCUCUAAUAAUGAUAUUUACCUGCAAAUGGGUUGCCAUAAAACCACAGUGGUUGUAUCAAACCUGUAAGAACUGACCCCCAAGAGAAGACAAUGGUGAGAGGAAAGGGUGAAAUACAUUAUUAUUAUUAUUA